rnacentral:lncRNA from 1 species
CCGGGCUUGGGUGGGGCUAGGCAGGCUCUGAGGGAUGUGGAACCUGCCUGAGGUUUCUCUGGUCUUGGAGAGGGUAUCCUUUCCUGGGAGAAGGAGCUUACUGAGAAAAGGACUUUCUGAUCCCUAAGGUGGAGGGACUGGGGCUGUGAGCAUCUCAUUCCUCAGCCAUUUGAAAAUAGGAUGGUGUGGGCUGGAGAGAAGGACAACGGACUUUGUCUAACAAUACCAACAUUCCCCAGACUUUUUUUUUUUUUUUGGUGACAGGGUCUCCCUCUGCUGCCCAGGCUGGAGUGCAGUGGUGCAAUUGUGUGAUCAUAGCUCACUGCAGCCUUAACCUCCUUGGCUCAAGAAAUCCUCCUGCUUCAGCUUCCCAAGUAGCUAGGACUACAGGCAUGUGUUGCCCUGCCCAGAUAAUUUUUUAAAAUAUUUUUUGUAGAGAUGGGAUCUCACUGUGUUGCCCAGGCUGAUCUCCAACUCCUGGCCUCAGGUGAUCCUCCCACCUUGACUUCCCAGAGUACUGAAAUUAUAGGUGCAAGCCAGCACACCUGACCCUGGACUCUUACUUAGUACCAGCCAGUGCUCUAAGAGAUUUACUUGGAUUAACUCAUUUAAUCCUCAAAAUAAAACCAUGAGGUAGGUACUUUCAUUAUGUCCUAUUUUAUAGAUGAGGACAUUGAGACACAGAGGGGUUAAGUCCCUGUUCUAUUGGGAAUUCAGACACCUGUUCCAGAUGGUGCCCAAGAAUCUGUAAUGGAGUCAGGCAAAGACAUAAAGAGAAAGUCCACUCAUUCGUUCAUUCAUUCAUUCAUUCAACAGGUAUUGACUCAACUGGCUUUGUAUGCUGGGCACCACUUUGCAAACAGCUUACAGGAUGGACUGCAGUCCUCACAACGAUCUUCAAAGGUCCCAGGAGAGAUCAAAGGCCAGGGCUGGUGAGUUCAGGGAAGAGGAAUUGAGGAUGGCCGGUCCCACCACUAUGUAAUGAGAAGGCUGAAAUUUAUGUGGAGACCUGGAGCAUGGGUAGGACUCUGGGGACACAGCCGAAUUUCCAGGGUGCUUGGCCUAGGCCUGCCGGUGCCUACCCCGUCUUAUCACUCCUCCAGGGAGCCCUGGGCAUCACUCCAUUCCGGAGUCCUGACCCCAACCACAGUCUGCUCCUCCUGUGUCCCCCGGCAGCGUCCUCGCUCCUUGCAGAGUUUGCCUGAUCCACCUCCUAGCACGGGGCUCCCUACGGAGCCUGGGCCACAGCUGGAGGGGCACCCUCUCUACGGCGGGCCCGCCCCCUGCCCCGCGCGCCAGGCGGGCGUGGCCCGCGGGGCGGGCGCCCGGCGAGGGGCUCCGGCGCGGCGGCCGUCACUCACGCACUCACGCGGGAGGAAUGCAGACGGCAGGGCUGCCCUGUGGUCACGUCCCCGCCCCACCGACGGAGGUAGGCGCCCAGGUACCCAGCCUGUGGGCCUUGGGAGCCCGCCAAGCUGCUGAUGAAAGGCGCUGCCAGAUUAACCCUUUCUUGGCCGCACCCCCUUGCUGCUGCCGGCUGCCGGGUGGUCGCAGAGCAGGAGGGUGAGGGGCAGGAGAGGAGUCUAGACACGCCUGGCUAACGAGGGGGCGGCUUUGGCCUCUGCGCGCUUGCCGGGUGGGUGCAGGUCCCCUGCCCCUGCCCUCCCCCUUUCUCUGGCCUUAGGACCCUAGGGCUGACAUGGUUGAGGGACAGGACUCCCAAUAACAUCAUAAACCUCACCACGGGGAUUCUCCACUGGGCACAACCUCCCAUGCUGAUGUGCUCCCUCCUUAAGAGUCACUGUAGCUAAAGAGCACUGGACAGAGAGUCCAGGAACUCAUGCAGUCAUCCAACACAAAUUUUAAAAGCUGAGAGGUGGCUGAUGUCUGUAAUCCCAGCACUUUGGGAAGCUGAGGUGGGAGCAUCGCUUGAGCCCAGGAGCUUGAGACCAGCCUGGGCAACAUAGGGAGAUCCCAUCUCUACCAAAUAAUAAGAAUAAUAUUAAUAUAAAAUAUUAGCCGGGCGUGGUGGCGCUGUGGUCCUAGCUACCUGGGAGGCUGAGGCGGCAGGAUUGCUUGAGCACAGGAGGUCGUGGCUUCAGUGAGCCGUGAUUGUGACACUGCACUCCAGCCUGGGCAACUGGGCAACGGGGAAAGCCAAGUGGGCUCUAUCUCAGUUUUUCCAGUCUGUAGAAUAACAGGGUCGAUAAUUCAAACUAUGGGGUUAUUUAUUUGUGUCUGUAUUCACAGCAACCUUCCUUUCUUCCCCAGGCGGAAUCUCAGGCAGAUGCCUGGUAUAGAAUUCAAACAAAGCGGAGAGUUUCUGGUUGGAGUUGGGAGUGAGGUCCCCCUUUCCCUCUGGCAUCUUCAUCUCAUCUCCUGAGAACCCCUAGGGAGGAUUUCAGGGAACACAGUUUGGAAAGCUUUGAGAGCUAGGUAUGGUGUGAGGUGCCUUUUGGCUCUGAUAUCUUUCUUUCCUUUUGUCUGCAUCUGCUGGGUGAUGCAGAUGUAUCUCUGUUCAGUGGGGGCUUUGCCAGCCUGGACAUUUGCUACAUCUUCUGGGCUCUGUGUGGGGCAUUCUGUGAUGCCCUGAGAUCUGGGCUCCCUCUUCCGGGGUCUGGGUGCUGUUAUCUGUGCUCCCCACUGAAAAUUGGCCCUGGACAAUUUUCAUUCUUUGCCCAUAUCCUGGGGCUUGGGCUCGCCCUCUGUACUUUCUUUGUUGCUGGAUCCAGUACACCGUAAGGUGAUGUUACUCUCAAGUUUCCCCUCAACCCCAUCUGUCUCCCAGACCCUCCUUUCUGGUCUGCUAAGAGUUCUAAGAAUCCAGGGGCCAAGGGAAUACUUUUUGUUUUAACACAGUUGCAGUGGUACAAGCGUGUCUGGUAGGCAAGGUGAGGAGGGCAAAGCUCUUGGGGCUAAACCUGCCUCAAGUUCAGGUGUCCUUCUCCCCCACCCCCGCUCCACCCUCUAACUAACAGCAAGGGAAUCUUCCAGAGAUCAAAGCAUGUCGGUAACCCUCACUGAAUUGGGCCAUGGCCUGGGAGUUCCCAGAUCUCUUCUCCAACUCAUCCAGCCUCCUUGGGAGCCUCCCCCGCCACCUAUAAGGGGCUGGGAGUGUCAAGAGGGGCAGGAAAUCAGAGGCUAAGUCAGGAGGCAGUGCCAAGAGGCGGCAGGAAGCCAGGCGGCCUCAUGCCCAGCCCUAACCACCCCCCACCUCACUCCUCAGUGGUCUCUAUGAGCCUCACUGCCCUGGGGGAAGGUAUACCACCCUGAAGCUGAGUUUCCAGGAGGGGCAAGAGAAUCUAGGCUUUAGCUACAGUAGAACUGCAGAGUAGAUCUCAGAAAGGACUUCUCAACCUGCAUAUCCAUCUCCCUUGAAUACUAGUUCCUUGGGUAUGCUUUACACAGCUUAAAGGUGUUACCACCUCCAAUAUAACAAGACUAGAAAUUUGCAAAUCACCCUUAGUGCUCCGCUCCCUUCACCAUCCAACUGGCCACUGAGUCCCAUCCUUUCUGCAGCAUUAGUGGUUUGAAGGUACCCUCUUUGCUUUCCAUUUCCAUUGCUCCUGAUUCAGUUGACACCUUUUCUAACCAGCCCCUGAGACUAUUGCAAUAGUGGCUGGUUCCCCUGACUCCCAGGAGCACACCCCCGUCCUCCCUUCCCUCCCCAGUCCCUCCUCCACACUGCACCAAGAGGGAUGUCAGAACACAGGUUGGAGCAUGCCACUCUUAUGCUCAAAAACCUUUGAUGGCUCCCCAUUGCCGGCAGGAUAAAGUUCCAACAUUGCCUGGCAUUUACAGCCUGCCCUGAUCUGGUGCCAACCUACCUUGCCAGCCUGGGUCCCUACUGUGUACUUUAUCUCCUCAACUCCAGCCACAUCCUAUGGCUCGUCUUAUCCCAGACCUGCUGUGCAUUUUCAUGGCCGACCACCUUGGCUCAUAGACAAGCUUGUUCCUAGCACUUACAGUGUUGUGGGGGAGGAGGAUUAAUCACAUAAUCCCGUAAAUAAAUAUAUCCUAAC